rnacentral:tRNA from 1 species
GCCGAGGUGGUGGAAUUGGCAGACACGCGAGACUCAAAAUCUCGAGUUGCUCAAGCAGCGUGCGGGUUCAAGUCCCGCCCUCGGCA